CACGUAGGGUGCGAGCGUUGUCCGGAAUUACUGGGCGUAAAGCGUGCGUAGGUGGUGAGUUAAGUCUGAUGUGAAAUCCCCGGGCUCAACCUGGGAAUGGCAUUGGAUACUGGCUCGCUAGAGUGCGGUAGAGGGUGGUGGAAUUCCCGGUGUAGCAGUGAAAUGCGUAGAGAUCGGGAGGAACAUCUGUGGCGAAGGCGGCCACCUGGACCAACACUGACACUGAGGCACGAAAGCGUGGGGAGCAAACAGG
rnacentral:rRNA from 1 species